rnacentral:tRNA from 2 species
GGGCCGUUGGAGCAAGCUGGCAGCUCGCCUGGUUCUCAGCCAGGAGGUUUACGGGUUCGAGCCCCGUACGGCCUA